AUUUUGUCAUCGAUGAAAGGUUCUCGUGUGGGAGGCGUUUCGGUGGUCUCGAGUGUAUCCGCAAACCAUUGAACUGUAGGUAGUGUUCAGGGAUUCCAAAUUUAGUUACACACUUAUUGGUGUUGCAGUUUAACUUUUCUUAAUAGCAAUCCAUUUUUUUCUAAAUAUGACGAGUAAUUAGUUUGGUAAGGAAUUCGUGAGAUGACUAAUUACUACUCUAGCUCUAAAUAGAUAAUUGUUUUAUACCGAAUAUUUCAAACAAGUAUUGUAAUGCAUGUAGCAAUCUCAACCUAUGAAUCUCCUGCCUACUUUGUCCAUUCAUAAAAAAAAGCAUUAUGUAAACGACUGAAUGACAAGUGAGUUUUGUCGUGGUCAAAAUGACUCACCGCGUUCUCGAAUUUUACCUAUGUGAAACUUUUUGCCUGAAUAAUCUCCUUUGUUGAUGUUGUGAAAUCAUAUUGGAAAUCUAUCCAUAUUUUGGGGAUAGGCUAUAUUAUAAUGCUCUAUUAUAAUGCUCUACUUUUGGAGCGUUCGCGUAGGCUACCGCGCUCGUCAAAUCAAUGAUUUAUCGGUUCAGGAUUCAAUAAUGCAAUGUUGGCGACGGUCCAAUGUAUUGCGGAUGUAGCCCUCAUUGCCCUCUCGAGGCAGGCAGUGAUGUGGCUAAAGGUUACGGCGGAGUGAUAUGCUGUAGUCUUCGACAAAGAGCUGCGAUAAAUCGGGAGGGAGAUCCCAUGAAUAGUACUUGAGCCCUAUGUCACUAAUGGACGGAGUCAUUGUAUAAAACACGAAAUGUAACCCCAAAUAUAAACACGCUAGCAAAGAGAAUCACUGAACACUUCACAGGAGAACAUGGAGAAGAAAAGGUGGGCAUGCUUGGCUCUCCCCAAGGGCUGGCAGAUCGAAGAAGUGACCAGAAAGUCCGGUUUGUCUGCGGGAAAAAGAGAUGUAUAUUAUUUUAGUCCAACCGGGAAGAAGUUUCGGAGCAAGCCUCAGCUGGCUCGUUACCUUGGCAACCAGAUGGACCUCAGCUCCUUUGACUUCCGCACAGGGAAGAUGCUCAUGAGUAAACUGAACAAGAACAGGCAGAGACUGCGCUAUGACAACAGCAAUCAGACCAAGGGCAAGCCAGACCUGAACACAUCACUCCCCGUCAGACAGACUGCUUCCAUCUUUAAGCAACCUGUCACCAAGGUUACCAACCACCCCAGCAACAAAGUCAAGACAGAUCCACAGAAAGCCGUCGACCAGCCGAGACAGCUUUUCUGGGAGAAGAAGCUUGGUGGUCUCGAUGCCUUUGACAUCGCAGAGGAGCUAGUGAAGACAAUGGACCUGCCUAAAGGUCUUCAAGGAGUUGGACCUGGAUGUACAGACAAGACUCUACUGUCAGCGAUAGCCAGCGCCCUGCACACUAGUGCAGCCCCCAUCACCGGUCAGCUGUCUGCAGCCGUGGAGAAGAACCCAGGGGUGUGGCUCAACACAUCGCAGCCCCUGUGCAAGGCCUUCAUUGUCACUGACGAGGACAUCAGGAAGCAGGAGGAGCUGGUGUACAGUGUGAGGAAGAAGCUGGAGGAGGCUCUAAUGGCGGACAUGUUGGCUCAUGUGGAGGAAGCAGCCAGCGAGGGCGACUCACUCGAGGAGGACAACGACGACAUGGAGACUGUAUAGCAGAGUGUGUGUGUGUCUAUCGCUUCCAGUAUUCUCAUUUUGAUACCUACUCACCUGGAACAGACACUAUUUGGUUUAAAGGACCUUUAAGGGUGAUGGGGAGUUAGAGUAGUUUGGAUGGGUCUUUCAACACCUUAUCACAGGACCAUGAAACCUGUACCAAUCCAACCUAAAGAACUGCCCACUUUCCACCUACUACCCCUCUGAAGCUUUACCUACCCACUGCCCACCUCGCCCGCUGGUUGGGCUCUUCUGGCUCCAGUGCUAAGAAAGGACUUGGACCAAGCCAUUCUGAAUCAAAUAAUUGAGCUAAUAAUCUUUCAUUUGAAAAAGAGAUCAUCCAAUAACUUUUUGACAGUGCAGAGUGAGAGGAGAGCGAUUUACAUACAGUAUGACAAAUUCAGUGUUCAAUGAUGUAGUUUUAUUUUUUACAAGACAUUGUAGGGAUUUUCUGAAUGUGAGAUGUAUGUUGUGACAAUCAUAUCACCCCCCACAUACACACACACACAAAACAAACAUACAAAAACUACUUUUUACAUGUAUUUGGAGUUUUUCAAUUAGUAGCGAAUGCUGUUUUUAUCUCUGGGUUUCUAAUGCACUCCAUGGGGCUCGAUGGACCAUAGUGUAGGGGUACUUUGGUUCAGUUUACAGGGCUAUGUGAGAGAGGCUUUGAUGAGAGGGAACAAUAUAUUUGCCCAAAUGAUGCACUCUAAAGCAUGAGUCACAGGACAGAGAAUUAGUGAAAAAUGAUUGAAUUGUGUUCUCAAGGGAAUAUUCUUGUCAUUGUAAUGUAGUCCAUUUCAAACCCCUUACCAAGUAUUGACCAAAGAUGGUUCAUGUGAUUUUUGGAAAGUCUUGCAGUAUUCUACUGUAGUUAUUUUGUUAUAGCAUCAUAUCCAGCUUCUCAAUAGCUAGUGAUGUUUCCACAUGACACUGAGUUAUGAGUGAAGUCAUACUAUACAUGGUUAAAAUGGGUACUAGAAGUGACUUGGACUCUUCUCUCCUUGUGUCGAUUUGAUUCAUUUUAACACUCAUUGCUCACUGAAGUUGUUGGUUUAACGUUGCUGUUUCUAGCCAAUGCAUGUUUGUCCCCAUGGCUAUGCUUUUUAAAAUGUUUCCAAUAAUGGGUCAAAGCCAUCACAACACUUGCUGCCUCCAUUAUCUUGUGCACUGGGUGCCAGGCAGAGUAAACUAAGCAGAUUUCGUUUGACUAAAGAUUAAGGGCUGGACUCAAUCUGUAUCGUGGAAGAUCGGUGUUAAAUUUAAAGGUUAUUUUUUUGACAUUCCGUUGACAAAUGCAGCGUUUAAUGUGAAUGCAGUCUUUGAAAUGCCUUUUCAGGGUGGCAGUUAGCCUCGUGGUUAGAGGGGGUGGCAGUUAGCCUCGUGGUUAGAGGGGGUGGCAGUUAGCCUCGUGGUUAGAGGGGGUGGCAGGUAGCCUCGUGGUUAGAGGGGGUGGCAGGUAGCCUCGUGGUUAGAGGGGGUGGCAGGUAGCCUCGUGGUUAGAGGGGGUGGCAGGUAGCCUCGUGGUUAGAGGGGGUGGCAGGUAGCCUCGUGGUUAGAGCGUUGGGCCAUUAACAGAAAGGUUGCUGGAUCGAAUCCCCGAGCUGACAUGGUAAAAAUCUGUCGUUCUGCCCCUGGACAAGGCAGUGAGCCCACCUACCCCCAGUCGGCCUUCAUUGUAAAUUAAGAAUUUGUUAUUAACUGACUUGCCUAGUUAAAUAAAGAUUUGAUUUGUUUGAAAUUUGUAAGAACAAAAAAAUUGAGUUAGUGUGGAUUUUCCACGAUGUAGAUUAAAUCCAGCCCAAAGAUUCUGUUUUGAGAAAAUUAAUUGCGCUUUGUACAUAUACCCACAUUUCUCAACGUUUGUAUGUUUCAAUUGUCAAGCUCAAUUAGAUCCCUAUCCAACAUCAGCAGGCUGAACUGAAUUUUAUGUUACUGAGUAAAAUGUAUCGGUAUAUCAACAGAA